UAUAUAAACAAGAAGCCGACGACAGACAAAGCGCUGAAGUGGUAUUGGAUUGGCCAUGUAUUUAUAGUCCUAGGAUGGAGAACAACAUGAUUUGUACUCCGGCAAUGACAUGGCACUCAGAAGAAAAGAGAAAAGUAAGCUGGCUGAAAAGAACAUGGAGAAGAAAGAUUCCAGCUGGGUUGGAUUAGACAGAAGACAAAGACAGAGGCAGGUGAAGGCUGUGGUACAUGUAAUGGGGCCUUGUGUACCUGUAGGCAUGAAGGAUCAUGAGAUGUAUGGAUGUUGUCCUAAGUAAGAACUGUCCUGGCAAUGUUGGAAUGAAAUUUACAGGAGCUACAAAGAGUUUUGGCUUUUAGAAGUAUAACUGUUCUAAAGAAAGAAAACAGUGUGGCAAAGAAAGGAAAGGAUUAUUCACUCAAAGAAAUAUGGAUGACAAGUACCUCCAGUGAAUGAUGUCAUAUCCAGCUUUGAAAUGUUGUGUUUGAAAGAAAAGGAUCUGAAGAAGGAGAAAGAUCUAUUUUAUAGAAUUAGAUGGAUUAAUAAACUGUCAAAGCUAUUGCUAUCACUAAAUUUUGUACAAUACUUGUAAUUCUUUAUCACUGAGUCUAUGAGCCUUCUGAUGAUAGUGUAUCUAAUCUGAGAAAGCAGUGUCCAUGAUAUCAAUCUUGAAACAUUUCAAGAUAUUGAUAACCUAAUAUCAAAACAUAAUAUGUACAGAUUUAAUAGCAGAUGAAAACUCUACACAAACUGGAUACUGAUGUUACUGAAAUUUAGAGAUGUCAUACUUGGUGUGGAUUGAUUUAAGAAAAAAAAUUAAUGUCUGAUAUGAUAUAAUAAACUAAUUA